AAGACUGUCGUCUGAACUGAGCUGUGAGGAAGCCUUGCAAAGCUGAAAUGUCGUCCUGUUGAACUUGUGAAGAAACUUGUGAAUAACAAAAACAUUUCAUGGUAGAAGGAAACGUUGUCUUGACAACCAAACAUUGAAAGCUGAUCAGUAUGGCAGUCUUUGAGUUUGCUGGGAUUAUUCAUGGUUUGUGCCCAUUGAACAGUGGAAGGUCUUUUCUGUACCACCAGUGUCCAUCAUUUACUGUGACAGGUGUGAUCCCAAUCCAAAGACCCGCGAACAAGAAGAGAAUUAAGCUGGAAGGAACAUUAAAUUUUGGUGAUGCUGAUCUCUUUUGAUGGAGUCCAUUAAUUGAUAUCAACUGGAUUUUAAUUCAGGACCAAAAGUGGGGUUCGGAAUUCUUCAGUAGAAUUUACAUGGAAGAACCUUUUUAGGUGAUUGAGUAAUGAAGACUGUGGGCAUUUUGUGUUGUUGCUCCCCGAAACCAAUCUGCUUUUUCUGACCAUCGGGCUCCAAGCUGUACCAUUAAUGGAGAAUAGAUUUAGGUAAUAGAACAGCGUCGGACACUUCAGGAGACAAAUAAAAUCAAAACAUCCUGUGAAACUGAUGGAAUUAAGAAAUUCUACAAGGAUGAAGUGAAGAAUUCAGUAGAACUUUCUGAAGGGUCAAGAGGUCAACUGACGGCUUGUCACAUGGAGCAUAUAACCUGAUCAUUAGUUGUCCCUCGUUGGAUUACCAGGCGUACAGUGUGAUAUAUUGACAUCCGUGUCUCUGGCAUCUAGAGUCUUCAUACUCAGGACCAGGCUGAAGGGGAUUGUUCUUAGCUGACCUUUAUCAACGGACAUAUCUUUACACCAAAACAAAGUGAAUUUAAAAAGAAAUUUAAAAAUCUGAUCUACUCCAUAAAUGAAAGGAAACCAUCAUCAUCGGAACAAAAAAAAAUUUUCAGAGGAAUAUUAAAACAACGUGUUCCCAUGACAUUUUGCGUGUUAACGAAAUACAUGUAUUACAGGUGACUGUGUAAAUAUAUUAUACCUGUCAAAUGAGUCACGGAUUGAUUAAAUGUGAAGAGUUUUCAAUUUGUAUUAACAUUGGUGACCAUAUAAAUGAAUAAAAAUGAUUUGCUUU
rnacentral:sRNA from 1 species